UAAAUGUUUGAUUUUGGCUUUAAAUUUUACUUUAUUAUUAAAGUUGCAUGAAAGUUUAAGCGAGCUGAUUAUUAGUUUAAUUAUAAAUUAAAUUAUUUAUUAUAAGAUAAGUAAAUUGAUUAUUUUUUAAGAUCUCAGCAUAAAAUAUUGUAAUUAAUUACAUGAUAAUGUGAAACAGUAGUAAUAUUUAAUGGUUAAGUCUGAUUAAUAUUUGUGCCAGCAUUCGCGGUUAUACUUUAAGACUAAGUAAAAUUUUUAGGAAUAUAGUUAAGUGAUUAAUUUUGUUUUAGUAAAUAUAGAUAAUAAAAGGUAAAAUUAGAAUAUUAUUUUAUAUUAAUUUGAAUUUAAACUGAAGCUAUAAAAGUUUAGAAAUAAACUAGGAUUAGAUACCCUACUAUUCUAAAAUUUGAAAUUGUUAAACUAAAAUAGUAAGAGGAUAGGUUCUUAAAACUUAAAAAAUUUGGCGGCAAUUUAAUCUUUUCAGAGGAACCUGUUUUUUGAUCGAUAAACCACGAAAAAUCUUGCUUGUUUUUGUUAAUAUUCAGUUUGUAUACCGUCAUUAAAAAAUAAUUCUUAAAGGAAAAAUCGUUUAGCUUAAUUGUUUACUAAAAUUAGAUCAAGGUGCAGCUUAUAAACAAGUUAAAAUGGGUUACAAUAAAUUACUUUACUGCGGAAUAUAAAAUAAAUAUAAUUAUGAAGAAGGAUUUGAUUGUAUUAUUGGUUUAAUAAGCUAAUAAGAUAUAAGUUCUAAAUUGUGCACAUAUCGCCCGUCGCUUCCAUUUAUACAUGGAAUAAGUCGUAACAUAGUAGGUGUACCGGAAGGUGUACCUAGAUCCAG
rnacentral:ncRNA from 1 species